UACGUAGGGUGCGAGCGUUGUCCGGAAUUAUUGGGCGUAAAGAGCUUGUAGGCGGUUUGUCGCGUCUGCUGUGAAAAUCCGGGGCUCAACCCCGGACUUGCAGUGGGUACGGGCAGACUAGAGUGUGGUAGGGGAGACUGGAAUUCCUGGUGUAGCGGUGAAAUGCGCAGAUAUCAGGAGGAACACCGAUGGCGAAGGCAGGUCUCUGGGCCGACUACUGACGCUGAGGAGCGAAAGCAUGGGUAGCGAACAGG
rnacentral:rRNA from 1 species